CGUUGAAGAUGAGAGAAGGCUCUAUCAGUGUGCAAAGAAGUAUGAAAAAAUGGUCAAACAGUUUGAUGAGCUGAUAGAGAUGAUGGACACCAGGACCAGACAGCCAAAGCGACGCAGGGGUUCCAGAGGAAGCAGUUCUAGUGCAGCCCCUGCCUCCUCGAGCCAGCCUGACAACAACGAAGUUUUCGUGCAGACGAUAACAAGAUUUCUCCAUGAUCUAAAACUUA